rnacentral:piRNA from 1 species
UGAUCUGAUGUGGAACCAUGUUGGUA